ACUACANGAAGCCGGAAUCGCUAGUAAUCGCGGAUCAGAAUGCCGCGGUGAAUACGUUCCCGGGUCUUGUACACACCGCCCGUCACACCAUGGGAGUCGGAAAUGCCCGAAGCCGGUGACCCAACCCGAAAGGGAGGGAGCCGUCGAAGGCAGGUCGGAUGACUGGGGUGAAGUCGUAACAAGGUAAC
rnacentral:rRNA from 1 species